UUUUUAGGAAAAAUUUAAGAAAAUUUUUACUUCAACAAUAUCUACUCGCCGCAACGCGCAGGUAUCUUCACUAGUUUUCUUUUAAAGAUGGUAAAUUAUUUACUGCUUCAAUGAAAGACGCAUUUCAAAUUAUCUAUAAAAGCAGUCAAUCAUUCACCAUCUUUCUCUUAGCAAAUAAUAAAUCAUUAAUUAAAAUGAAUGAUUUAUUGUUUAUUUCUUUAUUUUCAGAUAUAUUCCUAACAACCAUAAAAAUAUUUUCAACAAAUCACAUAAUCUUAACAAUCUAAAAAACUUUAAUAAUCUAUCCAUAUAAUCCUAACAAUCAAAUAAAAAUUCUAAUAAUCCAAAAACAAUACUGAUAACCUCAUUUUUCUUUUUUUAUUUUUCAUAUCGAAUCCUAACAACCAUAUAAAAAUCUCAACAAAUCAGUACAAUCUUAACAAUCUAAAAAAAUUCUAACAAAUUAUUUCCAAGUAGCUGGUGAAUAAUUCACUGCUUUAGUAGAAAAUUAUGAAGAGGGUGAAUCAUUCGCCAUCUUCUUAAAGAUGGUGAACGAUUCACUGUUUUUACAAGAAAGUUCCACCCCGCGCUGACUUAGUAAAAAGAAGCUUAUUUCACUAAAUAUUUUUUUAAUAGGGUCAUUUAAGCGAAUUAUAAUAUUUUUUAAGAUUAUUUGGAAAAUUAGUCCCUUAGCAGGAACUAGCUAGGGGUGGUAAUCCAACUC
rnacentral:lncRNA from 1 species